rnacentral:rRNA from 1 species
CCUACGGGAGGCAGCAGUAGGGAAUCUUCCGCAAUGGACGAAAGUCUGACGGAGCAACGCCGCGUGAGUGAGGAAGGCCUUCGGGUCGUAAAGCUCUGUUGCCAGGGAAGAACGCCUUGUAGUUCACUGCUACAAGGGUGACGGUACCUGAGAAGAAAGCCCCGGCUAACUACGUGCCAGCAGCCGCGGUAAU